rnacentral:lncRNA from 10 species
CCCUUAAUUUUGACUCUAAACUCAGAUGUGCUGACAUAUUAUUGUCUCUUCUCCCAAGAGGGACAUCAAACUAAGGUAUCUUCCAUUCAGUUUCAGGCAGACUCUGAAUAUGAUGGCCUCUGCAUUUGUUUGAGAAUAACAUCUUGCUCUUCGAUAUUUAAAGGGGCUGGGGGUGAAGGCAGGUGAAGGGGAAAAUACGGGUAACAAUAACUUAGUAAAUUAAUAAAGAGAAAAAGCACACAACUAAUCAGUGUAUGGAAUAACUGACACCUUUAUGUGGCACGGCAGAAAAUAAAAUGGACUCCACGAAGUCAAGUAAUCCUCCACAAAAAUGGAGUGAAAGGGAAAGAGAGCACAAAAGUACAAUGUAUAUACGAGGGGCAAGGCAGAGUUUUUAAAACAGAAUCGUCUAAGAAAUUCUACUAAUUUGAAAAAUUAAAAAAUACAGUGAAAUGUUAAAGCAUUUUCUAGUACGCUAUUAAAAUUGAUCUAUCUGCCUAGAUCAGUAACUAUUUAUUUGAAUAGAAUCUUUAAGUUUUAUGCAGUCACUUACAUAAAAUGGCCCUGGGUUCAAUGGAUUAAUAGGCAAGUGAUUUCAAGAAUUAACUAAUUUUCACAAUGUAUAACCUUAUCCAGAACACAUAAAAAGGAUAGACAAUUUCCCAAUUUGUUUUAAGAAGUGAAUGUGACUCUGUAACUGCACUGAAAAUCUUCCCAAGGACAAACUGCAAUUCACUCUCAUUUAAGAACAUAAAUGUAAAAAUUCUAAAUAAUGGAUUUUCAAACAUAAUCUUACAGUGUAUUUAAAGAAUACUACAUACUAAGGAAUACUCAUAUCAUAAUAAAAGUAUCAGUUAAUAAUUAGGGAGAUAAAUCACGAGUGAUCCUCUUCAAUCUGUCAAAGAAAAGGAAAUUUUUUUACCUCAAAGAAGCCAAAAAGAUAUUUAAUAAUAUUAAGCACCAAAUGCUGAGAGCAUUUUAUCUAAAUACUUUCUUAACAACAUAAAUAGUAUCCAUCUAUAAUAGGUUGAAUAGUGCUUCUGCAAAAGUUUAUGUCCACCUGGAACAUCAGAAUACAACCUUAUUUGGAAAUGAGGACUCUUUUUAAUUUUUAAA